AGAGUUUGAUCCUGGCUCAGGAUGAACGCUGACAGAAUGCUUAACACAUGCAAGUCUACUUGAUCCUUCGGGUGAUGGUGGCGGACGGGUGAGUAACGCGUAAAGAACUUGCCUUGCAGUCUGGGACAACGUCUGGAAACGGACGCUAAUACCGGAUAUUAUGAUUGAAUCGCAUGAUUUGAUUAUGAAAGCUAUAUGCGCUGCGAGAGAGCUUUGCGUCCCAUUAGUUAGUUGGUGAGGUAACGGCUCACCAAGACGAUGAUGGGUAGCCGGCCUGAGAGGGUGAACGGCCACAAGGGGACUGAGACACGGCCCUUACUCCUACGGGAGGCAGCAGUGGGGAAUAUUGGACAAUGGACCAAAAGUCUGAUCCAGCAAUUCUGUGUGCACGAUGAAGUUUUUCGGAAUGUAAAGUGCUUUCAGUUGGGAAGAAGAAAGUGACGGUACCAACAGAAGAAGCGACGGCUAAAUACGUGCCAGCAGCCGCGGUAACACGUAUGUCGCAAGCGUUAUCCGGAUUUAUUGGGCGUAAAGCGCGUCUAGGCGGUUUGGUAAGUCUGAUGUGAAAAUGCGGGGCUCAACUCCGUAUUGCGUUGGAAACUGCCAAACUAGAGUACUGGAGAGGCAAAUGGAAUUCCAUGUGUAGCGGUAAAAUGCGUAGAUAUAUGGAGGAACACCAGUGGCGAAGGCGGUUUGCUGGCCUGCAACUGACGCUGAGGCACGAAAGCGUGGGGAGCGAAUAGGAUUAGAUACCCUAGUAGUCCACGCCGUAAACGAUGAGAACUAGGUGUUGGGGAAACUCAGUGCCGCAGUUAACGCAGUAAGUUCUCCGCCUGGGGAGUAUGCACGCAAGUGUGAAACUCAAAGGAAUUGACGGGGGCCCGCACAAGCGGUGGAGUAUGUGGUUUAAUUCGAAGCAACGCGAAGAACCUUACCAGGCCUUGACAUCCCGAGCGAAGUUAUGGAGACAUAAUGGAGGUUAUCUCGGUGACAGGUGGUGCAUGGUUGUCGUCAGCUCGUGUCGUGAGAUGUUGGGUUAAGUCCCGCAACGAGCGCAACCCUUGUCUUUAGUUACUAACAUUAAGUUGAGGACUCUAGAGAGACUGCCGGUGAUAAACCGGAGGAAGGUGGGGAUGACGUCAAAUCAUCAUGCCCCUUAUGGCCUGGGCUACACACGUACUACAAUGGCAGCUACAAAGAGCAGCGAACUCGCGAGAGCAAGCAAAUCUCACAAAGGCUGUCUCAGUUCGGAUUGGAGUCUGCAACUCGACUCCAUGAAGUCGGAAUCGCUAGUAAUCAAAGAUCAGCAUGCUACGGUGAAUACGUUCUCGGG
rnacentral:rRNA from 1 species